AGAAAACGGUAAGAAUUAAAAUUACUGACCGUUAGAUAAUCGAUUAUUGAACUGAAAUAAUCGAUUGUAUUUACUGUUUGAUUGAGAUUUUGAAUCUGAUAAAUCGAUUCUUGAGUCAAACGGUAAAAAAUUUGAAUGAAAUAAUCGAUUGUUAGGUUUUGGUAAUCGAUUAUGGAGCAUUUAAGACCUGACAGGAAUCGAUU
rnacentral:lncRNA from 1 species